rnacentral:rRNA from 1 species
AGAGUUUGAUCAUGGCUCAGAACGAACGCUGGCGGCAUGCCUAACACAUGCAAGUCGAACGCCUGUAGCAAUACAGGAGUGGCGGACGGGUGAGUAACGCGUGGGGACCUGCCUCGAAGUUCGGAAUAACCGCGGGAAACUGCGGCUAAUACCGGAUGUGGCCUGAGGGCCAAAGGGGAAACUCGCUUCGAGAGGGGCCCGCGUCCGAUUAGCUAGUUGGUGAGGUAACGGCUCACCAAGGCGACGAUCGGUAGCUGGUCUGAGAGGAUGAUCAGCCACACUGGGACUGAGACACGGCCCAGACUCCUACGGGAGGCAGCAGUGGGGAAUAUUGGACAAUGGGGGCAACCCUGAUCCAGCAAUGCCGCGUGAGUGAUGAAGGCCUUCGGGUUGUAAAGCUCUUUUGGCGGGGACGAUGAUGACGGUACCCGCAGAAUAAGCCCCGGCUAACUUCGUGCCAGCCGCCGCGGUAAUUC